GUUAUAAUUGAUUACAAUAAAAGAUAUGUAAAAUACUUAAACUUAAAGAUAUAACAAAUAUAAAUGAUAAAAAAGGUUUCGCGGGACAAACCACGGAUCUCACAAUGAUAUCUGUCAUUCCAAAUUGGAAACCUUGCGCUUGGCUACAUAAUCUGUUUGGGCAGGAAUGGUAAUAUCUGCUAGAGCUAAGAUCUGACAUGAAUAUAACUCUUCAAUGUCUAAACCAAACAGUGGCACUUCUUCUCUUAAUGUCUCAACUUCACCCUUUUUUUAAAUUCAAAGAGAAGUUGUACUUCCAUAAAAAGUCCCGUCCAAGAAUACAAGGGUCACUGAUGUCAGCAAUGUGAACAAUGUGAUUAUGUGGGUUAAAUCCAAAAGAAAUAGAAACUUCCAGCUCCAGCUUAAAAUUAUUUUAUCAUCAGUCACAGUCUAUAAUGAAAUGAUGCUCGCCAAGCUGGGGAGAUGGACAUUUAUGCACCCAACAACAACUGUUCAUACUAUUGUCACAUUUGUUCCUGUAUCAAGAAUUAGAUGGCAAGGAAGAUCAUUAAUUUUUCCAUCCACAAACAGGCCAUAAUCUCCUCC
rnacentral:lncRNA from 1 species